rnacentral:rRNA from 1 species
AGUGAACGCUGGCGGUAGGCCUAACACAUGCAAGUCGAACGGCAGCACAGUAAGAGCUUGCUCUUACGGGUGGCGAGUGGCGGACGGGUGAGGAAUACAUCGGAAUCUACUUUUUCGUGGGGGAUAACGUAGGGAAACUUACGCUAAUACCGCAUACGACCUACGGGUGAAAGCAGGGGAUCUUCGGACCUUGCGCGACUGAAUGAGCCGAUGCCGGAUUAGCUAGUUGGCGGGGUAAAGGCCCACCAAGGCGACGAUCCGUAGCUGGCCUGAGAGGAUGAUCAGCCACACUGGAACUGAGACACGGUCCAGACUCCUACGGGAGGCAGCAGUGGGGAAUAUUGGACAAUGGGCGCAAGCCUGAUCCAGCCAUACCGCGUGGGUGAAGAAGGCCUUCGGGUUGUAAAGCCCUUUUGUUGGGAAAGAAAAGCAGCAGGUUAAUACCCCGCUGUUCUGACGGUACCCAAAGAAUAAGCACCGGCUAACUUCGUG